AAGAAGAGAAAAACUUUGUUAACUCUAACCAUUCCGUUUCUUGUUCUUCCUUAUCCGUUCCUCUUCUUCGUUCUCACUGAUAUUUCUUUCCGGAAAGCUAGAGUUUUGCAUACAAAGCGGAUUUUGCACACAACAUCGGGAAUUCAGUAGUUCGGUAGGAUACAAAACAUCCUCAUCUUCAAUGGAGCCUGUCAUCAGGAUAAUGCCAUCUGAACUCAAGAAAGUACAGUAUUGUUAGUUGGUGCCGGUAUACACCUUUCACUUAAGUAACUGUCACAACCUUUUCAUGAAAUCCACAUCUGGUAAUAUGUACUCAUCUGGUAUCUUGAUCCACCCUGGCUCUUCCAUAUUGGUAAGUGCAAUUGACAGUUCCAUUUCCGAGAUCCAGUACCCAUUUACUGAAUUCUUUUGUUUCUUUUGUUGCAGCCGUUACUCCAAAGUCAGAGGCAUUUUCAGUAAGGUUUACCAUUUUGAAAUGGCUCCACAGGUCUGUCCUAUUUAUCCAUGCGUCAAUAAUUACCUCCUUGGUUUCUUUGGGAGUGCUCAUUAAUAUCUGCCUAAAAUCUCCACUAAACAAAAUAGCUUUCCCUCAAAAUACCUUUAUCAGUGUACCCAUAAGAUCUUCGAAUCCCUCAAUAUCGUUUCUUAACCUUUCGGCGCCAGGCUGUUCUGUCUUAUAAGAGGAGCCAAUCAGAGAGCGAUGUCAGGGAUAGUUAGUGCUUACAUGGCUUCACCAAAAUCAAGUGUGAUUGUGGUGCUGACAUGUGGCGACUUGGAGUCCCUAAUUAUAAAGAAAGAUUAUGAGACCUUAGAUAUGUAUAUUACAAUUGUUUGAUUUAUCAAAAUGUGAUAGUACAUUUGUUUCAGUACUAUAUGUCAGUAGCUCACUGGGUGUUGUUUUCUUUGUGUUAGUAAAUUGUUCAAAUUUCAGUUCCAUAGGAUAGAUAUUCAUCAGAAAUGUUGUGUAGUCUCGUGAUUAAAUUUAUCCGGCAACACACAAAACAGUGGACUCACUUUUACUAAUCCCCAUGUUGAGAGGCUUUGUUUUCGACCAUCAGAUCCCCUAUCAGGAUAAAACUCGGGACCAAACGUCGGUGUGUGUAGCACUGCUCCAGCAGACACCCAGACACUAUCCAAUAUACCUUUGAAUAACAAGAUGUGGCCCUGGUUUUAGGCGUUCAUCUAUCUUUGUAUGUGCAUUCAAACCCAUCAUACAGUCUCCUUUUUUGAUUACUAAUUUGAUUGAUGUUAAAUUAUGGAUUACAAUUUUCUGAACUACAUAUGCAUAUAUGUUCUCACACUUGGAUUGAGAUAUGCUUUUUAGGUGUGAUAUAUGUCAAUAUCUGCUACUUCAUCAACUAGUAGUGAAGAAUAUUCUUGUCCAACAGAACGGUUGUUACUCUGUUGUUAGAUUUCGAUGAUAUGUUGAACCCAUGUGGAACGACUCGGUAACUUGUUCAAAGUGAGUGCAUGUGGAACGACUCAGUAACUCGGUAACACUUGUUCCGGUCAUGUGCGCAACAACAAUGAUGAACACCAAAGGGCCUCAUGGUGGGUCUGUUCCUGGAAGGCGUUACAUCCAGCGGAAUAGCAUUCCUUGGCAUAGGCUUAUUAUUCGUGAUUACUUUAAAGGGGAACAAUCGAAGUUAUCAUCUGAGGUCGGUGAUUUUUUUUUUGUUGCGUCGUCACUGCAUCCAUGUUGAUAAACUUUGAAGUGAGUGCAGGUGAGCUGACCAUUCAACAUAGUCUGGCAUGGCACUAGCGAGAACAACGUGUAGAGUUAGUAAGAGGACGUGGAGCAUUUGGUUCAGAAUUAACACAGCGGCAAGAAUACAACCCAUAUCCUUUCUACUUCUGUAAAAUAGAAAACACUUUAACUGAUAAUAUCUCACAUGGAGAUUCUUUCAACUGGUUUUCUUCUGUUAAAAGAAGAAUCUAAUAGUCCUUGAGUUGUAAUAGUCCGUAUAAAGUAGUACCAUUCUGUUUUGGCUCUAGAUACUUUUUGUUCAGAUUUUGGUUUUCCUACUGUGUUUUGUUUUUAGCGGGAUUUUUUUUUUUUUUUUUGUAGGGAACAUAUUCCCUCCAUGUUUUCGGAUUUAAUUUUUUGAUUAUAAUUUUUGUUUUUUGAUUUUAAAUUUUAUCCACAUAUGAAAUUCUAAGGUUUAGAAUUAUUUUAUUUUUGGAGCCGAGUGUUAAUUGAUGUGGCGACACUACACUUGUAUUGGAGAAAAAUGCUAUACAGAGACAAAGGACGAACUAAUUGAGCUCCUCUAGCAAUAGCAUGGAUGCUUUUUCAAACUCUGAUGCAUCAAAAGUGAGCACUUGCCACUCACCUUAUAAACGGGAGAAAUCAAGAGCAGAAGUGGAGAAGAGAGAAUGCAAGUGUAAUCAGCACCAAAAGUUACUAUAUUUGUAAGAUAUGGCAAAGAAAAAUCGGAAAAUCGUAAGAAGAGAUGAUGGGAUGGAUCAUACAAGCAUGUCGCUGUCAACAUUCCAAGUCUUUUGCAAUUCAAGUGUGAAGGGAUAUCAUGUUACCCUACUAUUAACAAUGCAAACAAUCUUACUGAAGCAAAAAUCAGAAUUCUAAAUACUAGAGAGAAUGAGCACGAGUUGCUUUGCAAGCUACUACAGGACCUCCAUAAUGUUGAAGUUCUCACACUUUGCUACCAAAAUCUCGAGGUUCUCGGCGCAAAUGGCAGGAGAAGUUUGCUAACACCGCUUUGCAAUUUGAAGCGUUUAGCCAUAACACUGCUGUGGGUGGAAAAAGACCUUCCGAACCUUAUGUGCUUGUUAAGGAAUUCCCCUUCUUUAGAAGCACUUUCCCUAGAUCUUCAUCGCAUAUAUGAGGGUGCAGAGGGAAUGAUAUCCUCAGUCUAUAACGAGGAUGAAUCAACAGUUCUGGAACCACUUUUACUUCCUUCUGAUUGUGUAAUGCAUCUUACAAAAAUUGAGAUUAAGAACUUUCAAGGCCUAAAAGUUGAAAUGGAGUUUGUUAAGAUUAUGCUCCAGAGCUCACUAUGCUUGAAGGAAAUGGUUAUUUGCAUCAGCUCCAGAUAUGAGCUUCUGAAGCAGAGAAUCGGGGAAGAGCAUAAUGGAGUUUUGCAGAUGAAAAAGGACGCUGCAGUUGAAAAUAUAUUGGCCUGCACAUGCGCGUCACCGGAUGCUCAAAUAUUAAUCUAUUAGGGGAGGUUGUGGCCAUAUACGCUGGAGCCAUCUGAGUAUUGUAAAGCGCUCUAGGAAAGGAGGCAUUCUAUUUUGAGAUCCCGAAUGUCGAAAGGUAUGAUGAGAAUUUCCAUUUUGCUGUAAAAAUGUUAGCAUUCUCAAGAUGUUUUUUUGUUGUUUUGGGGUAAUGUAAUGUUUCUUGCUAAACCAAUAUAACAUGAGGAAUUGGUUCUUGUAAACCCUUUUGUUGUGAGGAAGAAGAGUUUCGAUCAGACUCAACACCAGAGAGAGUGGGAUUCUUGUUUUUAUGGGUAAUG